rnacentral:tRNA from 1 species
UUUGUAGCUCAGCUGGAUAGAGCAACCGCCUUCUAAGCGGUAGGUCGGAGGUUCGAGUCCCCCCAA